rnacentral:ncRNA from 1 species
CCCGCUGAACUUAAGCAUAUCACUAAGCGGAGGAAAAGAAACUAACAAGGACAACAUGUCUUCUCCGACUAUAAUCUUCACCCCAACACCGAAGCCUGCGGUUAUUUGAUCGUAAGGCAAUGUGGUGUUUAGGGUGGCUUCAGGCAUUACUGCUCUGUCCCAAGUCCAGCAAUGAGUACGGCUUCCCAUUCUGGCCCAAAGAGGGUGAAAGGCCCGUGGGGGCAGAGAUCAAGUGUGACAGUUUUGCUGUGAGCUACCCUUGGAGUCGGGUUGUUUGUGAAUGCAGCCCAAAGUGGGUGGUAAACUCCAUCCAAGGCUAAAUACUUACACGAGUCCGAUAGCAAACAAGUACCGUGAGG